GUCCCGACGCACCCUGGCGGCCCGCAGCGACAGCGAGGCGGUGCAGCUGAAGGGAGGGGUGGGCGGCGCGCUGGGGACCCCAGAGCCCAGGGCUACCCCGUUCCCCUGAGCACCGCCCAAGGUCCUGCCUCCCCCACUCCCCACUCCCCUCCCUCCCUCCAGCUGACCUCUGCACCGAGGGCCUGUAACAGAACCCCUGCACUCCCGCCUGCACGUCUCUGGGCCCGUUUUUCCUUUCCGCGCGCUGGGGGGUCCCCAGAAAUGGAACUUGGUCACUCAAGGAGCAGCAGGAAUGAAUGUCCCCUCUCCAAGCCUCCCUUUCUCUUAAUCCCUAGAAGAACUUCAAUAGGCCUGGAAUUCCCUGUUUGCCCUCCUGGGGAUCCACAGCAGAAAGUGACCAGGCCCACCCCAGGACAGGGCUGGAGCCGGUUUUCAGAAGCCACAUGAGACAUUUCCACCUAGGUCAGAAGAGCAGGUGGCUCUGACUGUGGGUGCUGCUUCUGGAACAAUCGGAUUCCUCCUGGCACCUGACUGUACUGCUUUCCAAGGAUGUGCUCCAACAAAACAAGGGAGGAAAGCAUGAAAUCAGGCAAUAGGACUAGCUGAAGCAGUGAUCCAGCAAGAGAGAGGGUUCUUCUCUGCACUUGGGCCAGGUUGGUUGGACUUUCUACUCCUCUCUCUGUACAGCGCCACUGGUAUGUCCUGGAAACACCGGUUUCAGCCCUCUGAAGCGACUUGGUCUACGCUGGCAAACAGGAGGGUGGCUCUGGUGAGCUGAGAAAGAGAAAGGAGACCCUUCCAUCAAAGAGUAGCAGCCCAAGGGAGCCUUGGACAGGAGGGACGCUCUCGCUGUUAUGUUAACCACCCUGCACAUCCACGUCUGUGUGAGCCAAAAUUGGAUACGCCACAAUUAAACAACACAACCAAAAACGG